GACGAACGCUGGCGGCGUGCUUAACACAUGCAAGUCGAACGGAAAGGCCCUGCUUUUGUGGGGUGCUCGAGUGGCGAACGGGUGAGUAACACGGGAGUAACCUGCGCUUGAGUUUGGGAUAUCUUCAGGAAACUGGGGCUAAUACCGGCUAGGAGCUCCUGCUGCAUGGUGGGGGUUGGAACGUUUCGGCGGAUGGGGUUGGACUUGGGGGUUAUCAGCUUGUGGGUGGGGUAGUGGCUUACCCAGGCUUUGACGGGUGGCCGGCCUGGGAGGGUGACCGGCCACAUUGGGACUGAGAUACGGCCCAGACGCCUACGGGAGGCAGCAGUGGGGAAUAUUGCACAAUGGGCGGAAGCCUGAUGCAGCGACGCCGCGUGCGGGAUGACGGCCUUCGGGUUGUAAACCGCUUUCGCCUGUGACGAAGCGUGAGUGACGGUAAUGGGUAAAGAAGCACCGGCUAACUACGUG
rnacentral:rRNA from 1 species